UGAAACUUUGUGAAAACAUUAGAAACUGUACACUCAAUGACCAGAAACAUAAAUAAAACACUUGUACAAUAUAAUGCAAACCAAGCAUCCCUUAAAUGCAUACAACCUUUGUGGAACUUUUUUUAAAACCUUAACUGAGCCUCGGAGAGAGGAUUUGGAUCGACAUAAUGAAGAUUGUGUAUUUCUGGGUCAUUGAGAGCACGAUUGUAGUAACUCUAUAGUCGUAAACGUGAUAGUUAUCCACGGAUGAAAUACUUUUAAGUCGUAGGGGAUGUUAUAUCAACAGGAAACGCAAUAGCGUUUCACACAGUAAAACGACGGCAGUAGCCAAGUUCUAUAUCGGACCUUUAGUUGGCGCCUGAGCUACAGCCGAGGAUGAGAUGGUGACCCGGCUGAGAAGAGAGCUCGCAUCCCCGCCUUCUUUGUCCCCACUGCCCGCAGCACCCGCCGAGCCUGCACCGGAGGAAUCACCCCCCUUCAGUUCCAGUGAAUCCUCCGGUAGUCCCGCUUCACGACGCAAAAUUUCGACGGACUCGAGGUGGAAGGCAUCUCAGGAGCGCAGCACAGGAUGUCUGUGCAGACUGCAUGCAGAUCCAAAAAAAUAAGCUGGAAGACUCUCCC